GUUGCCGGGACAACGCCCGCACGCGCCCGGCCCCUAGUCCCAGCGCGGGGAGGGUACUAUCGCAGCUUCUCCGUCAGGCCUUGGGCCAUGGCCUCGCUACGCAAUGCCAACCCGAGGCUGAAGAACUACUUCAAGGAGAACUACAUUCCUCAGGUCUGCGAGGCCCUGUUAUGUGGUAUACUUGUUACAUGUCCUGAGGAUCCGCUGAGGUAUUUAGAGGGAAUGAUCAUGGUUAUAAUCAAAAGUGGUCUUCAGAAUCUUCUUUGGGAUAUGUGCAUUACUCCAUCAAUGAAACCAAACAUUCGAAGAUUGUCUGAAACUUACCUGGAACAACUUUUUGAAUUGGAUGAUCAGCUGAUGACUCCGGAAUUGAUGAUAAAAGCCUGUAGCUUUUAUACUGGACAUUUAGUAAAGACUCAUUUUUGCACUUGGAGAGACAUAGCUCAUACAAAUGAAAAUGUCGUCCUGGCUGAAAAAAUGAACAGAGCAGUGACAUGCUACAAUUUCAGACUUCAAAAAUCUGUAUUUCAUCACUGGCACUCUUAUAUGGAAGACCAGAAAGAAAAAAUUAAAAAUAUGCUAUUGCGGAUACAACAGAUCAUCUAUUGUCACAAGCUAACCAUUAUCCUAACAAAAUGGCGGAAUACAGCAAGACAUAAGAGUAAAAAGAAAGAAGAUGAGCUGAUAUUAAAACAUGAACUUCAAUUGAAAAAAUGGAAAAAUAGGUUAAUACUCAAAAGAGCUGCUGCGGAAGAAUCCAAUUUUCCUGAACGAAGUUCUUCUGAAGUCUCUCUUGUAGAUGAGACUCUAAAAUGUGACAUUUCACUGUUACCUGAAAGAGCAAUAUUACAGAUUUUCUUCUACCUCAGUUUAAAAGAUGUGAUAAUAUGUGGUCAAGUUAAUCAUGCCUGGAUGUUGAUGACACAACUAAACUCACUGUGGAAUGCUAUUGAUUUUUCCUCAGUGAAAAAUGUGAUUCCAGAUAAAUAUAUAGUGUCUACUUUGCAAAGGUGGCGUUUAAAUGUGCUGCGUUUGAAUUUUCGUGGUUGUCUUCUCCGACCCAAAACUUUCAGAUCUGUCAGCCACUGUAGGAACUUGCAAGAGUUGAAUGUCUCUGACUGCCCAACAUUCACAGAUGAAUCAAUGAGACACAUUUCUGAGGGCUGCCCGGGGGUCCUGUGUCUCAAUUUGUCUAACACAACUAUCACCAACAGGACGAUGCGACUCCUGCCGAGGCACUUCCACAACUUACAGAAUCUUAGUUUGGCUUAUUGCAGACGGUUCACAGACAAAGGCUUACAGUACCUGAACUUGGGGAAUGGAUGCCACAAGCUCAUCUAUCUGGACCUCUCCGGCUGCACCCAGAUUUCAGUCCAAGGCUUCAGGUACAUUUCAAACAGCUGCACUGGAAUUAUGCAUCUUACCAUUAAUGACAUGCCAACUCUGACGGACAACUGUGUAAAAGCUUUAGUUGAAAAAUGCUCUCGUAUUACAUCGCUGGUUUUCACUGGUGCACCGCAUAUCUCCGAUUGUACUUUCAGAGCUCUUUCUGCUUGUAAACUCAGAAAGAUCCGAUUUGAAGGAAAUAAAAGGGUUACUGAUGCAUCCUUCAAAUUUAUAGACAAGAAUUAUCCAAAUCUCAGUCACAUUUAUAUGGCUGACUGCAAGGGAAUAACAGACAGCAGCCUCAGAUCCCUUUCACCUUUGAAGCAACUGACUGUGUUGAAUUUGGCAAAUUGUGUAAGAAUUGGUGAUAUGGGACUAAAGCAAUUUCUUGAUGGUCCUGCAAGCAUAAAGAUAAGAGAGCUAAAUUUAAGCAACUGUGUGCGGCUAAGUGAUGCCUCUGUUAUGAAACUAUCUGAGCGCUGCCCUAAUUUAAACUACUUGAGUUUACGAAAUUGUGAACAUUUGACUGCCCAAGGAAUUGGAUAUAUUGUAAACAUCUUUUCCUUGGUAUCAAUAGAUCUCUCUGGAACAGACAUCUCUAAUGAGGGUUUGAAUGUGCUUUCCAGACAUAAAAAAUUGAAGGAACUUUCUGUAUCCGAAUGUUAUAGAAUCACUGAUGAUGGAAUUCAGGCAUUCUGCAAAAGCUCACUGAUCUUGGAACAUUUGGAUGUCUCUUAUUGCUCCCAGCUGUCAGAUAUGAUUAUCAAAGCACUGGCCAUUUACUGCAUUAACCUCACAUCUCUCAGCAUUGCUGGCUGUCCAAAGAUUACUGACUCAGCGAUGGAGAUGUUAUCGGCAAAAUGCCAUUACCUGCACAUUUUGGAUAUCUCUGGUUGUGUCUUGCUUACUGACCAAAUCCUUGAGGACCUUCAGAUAGGCUGCAAACAACUCCGGAUCCUUAAGAUGCAAUACUGCACAAAUAUUUCCAAGAAGGCAGCUCAAAGAAUGUCAUCUAAAGUUCAGCAGCAGGAAUACAACACUAAUGACCCUCCACGUUGGUUUGGCUAUGAUAGGGAAGGAAACCCUGUUACAGAGCUUGACAACAUAACAUCAUCUAAAGGAGCCUUAGAAUUAACAGUGAAAAAGUCAACAUACAGCAGUGAAGACCAAGCAGCGUGACCUUCAGCCUCAAGCAGGAAGAACAAAAAAUCAAGAACUUGGCAAGUUUUCUCCAUUUGUUGCAAAGAUGGGGUUUUACCAUGUUAGCCAGGCUGGUCUCGAACUCCUGACCUCAAGUGAUCCAUCCACCUUGGCCUCCAAACUGCUGGGAUUACAGUCAUGAGCCACUGUGCCUGGCCAGUAUUAUAUAAUUUAAAUGUUCCGCUCUCCCGUCUCCCUCUCCCGUCUCCCUCUCCCUCUCCCGUCUCCCUCUCCCUCUCCCGUCUCCCGUCUCCCUCUCCCGUCUCCCUCUCCCAUCUCCCGUCGCCCGUCUCCCGUCUCCCGUCUCCCUCUCCCAUCUCCCUCUCCUUUCCACGGUCUCCCUCUCAUGCCGGGCCAAAGCUGGACUGUACUGCUGCCAUCUCGGCUCGCUGCAGCCUCCCUGCCUGAUUCUCCUGCCCCAGCCUGCCGAGUGCCUGCGAUUGCAGGCACACGCCGCCACGCCUGACUGGUUUUCGUGUUUUUUUGGUGGGGAUGGGGUUUCACUGUGUUGGCCGGACUGGUCUCCAGCUUCUAGCCGCGAGUGAUCUGCCAGCCUCGGCCUUCCGAGGUGCCGGGAUUGCAGACGGAGUCUCGUUAACUCAGUGCUCAAUAGUGCCCAGGCUGGAGUGCAGUGGCGUGAUCUCGGCUCGCUACAGCCUCCACCUCCCAGCCGCCUGCCUUGGCCCCCCCAAAGUGCGGAGAUUGCAGCCUCUGCCCGGCCGCCACCCCGUCUGGGAAGUGAGGAGCGUCUCUGCCUGGCCGCCCAUCGUCUGGGAUGUGAGGAGCCCCUCUGCCUGGCUGCCCAGUCUGGAAAGUGAGGAACGUCUCUGCCCAGCCGCCAUCCCACCUGGGAAGUGAAGAGCGCCUCUUCCCGGCCGCCAUCCCAUCUAGGAAGUGAGGAGCGUCUCUGCCUGGCCACCCAUCGUCUGAGAUGUGGGGAGCGCCUCUGCCCCACCGCCCCGUCUGGGAUGUGAGGAGCGCCUCGGCCAGGCUGCGACCCCAUCUGGGAGGUGAGGAGCGUCUCUGCCCGGCCGCCCCGUCUGAGAAGUGAGGAGACCUUCCGCCUGGCAACUGCCCCAUCUGAGAAGUGAGGAGCCCCACCGCCCGGCUGCCACCCCAUCUGGGAAAUGAGCAUCUCAGCCUGGCAGCCACCCCGUCCGGGAGGGAGGUGGGGGGUCAGCCCCCCGCCGGGCCAGCCGCCCCGUCCGGGAGGGAGGUGGGGGGGUCAGCCCCCCGCCUGGCCAGCCGCCCCGUCCGGGAGGGAGGUGGGGUCAGCCCCCCGCCUGGCCAGCCGCCCCGUCCGGGAGGGAGGUGGGGGGGUCAGCCCCCCACCCGGCCAGCCACCCUGUCUGGGAGGUGAGGGGCGCCUCUGCCCGGCCGCCCCUACUGGGAAGUGAGGAGCCCCUCUGCCCGGCCAGCUGCCCUGUCCAGGAG